CUUUAGCACCAAGUAUUAAAGGUGACGCCUGCCCAGUGAUUAUUUAAACGGCCGCGGGAUCCUCCACCGUGCAAAGGUAGCAUAAUCACUUGUCCCCUAAAUAGUGACUAGUAUGAACGGCCUAAUGAAGAUUAAACUGUCUCUUACAACUAAUCUAUGAAACUAAUCUAUCAGUACAAAAACUGAAAUAUUUACAUAAGACGAAAAGACCCUGUGGAACUUCAAGCUAUACCUCAACCAUAAUGACUACACUGCUUUUAGUUGGGGCAACUUUGGAAUAAAACAAAACUUCCAACAUCUUAAUGGUUUACACACCUAUCUUUUUAUACACUUUGACCCAGUCACACUGAUUAAAGAACCAAGCUACCCCAGGGAUAACAGCGCCAUCCCCUCCAAGAGCCCAAAUCGACGAGUGGGGUUUACGACCUCGAUGUUGGAUCAGGGCCCCCAAACAGUGCAACCGCUGUUAAAGGUUUGUUUGUUCAACAAUUAAAGC
rnacentral:rRNA from 1 species